AGAGUUUGAUCCUGGCUCAGGACGAACGCUGGCGGUGUGCUUAACACAUGCAAGUCGAACGGUAAGGCCCUUUUUUGGGGUACACGAGUGGCGAACGGGUGAGUAACACGUGAGUAACCUGCCCUCAUCUCUGGGAUAACAGUCGGAAACGGUUGCUAAUACUGGAUAUGAGCUUGCAAGGCAUCUUGUGGGUUGGAAAGAUAUUUUUUGGUUGGGGAUGGACUCGCGGCCUAUCAGCUUGUUGGUGAGGUAGUGGCUCACCAAGGCUUCGACGGGUAGCCGGCCUGAGAGGGCGACCGGCCACAUUGGGACUGAGAUACGGCCCAAACUCCUACGGGAGGCAGCAGUGGGGAAUAUUGCACAAUGGACGGAAGUCUGAUGCAGCAACGCCGCGUGCGGGAUGACGGCCUUCGGGUUGUAAACCGCUUUCAAUUGUGACGAAGCUUUUUGUGACGGUAGCAGUAGAAGAAGCACCGGCUAACUACGUGCCAGCAGCCGCGGUGAUACGUAGGGUGCGAGCGUUGUCCGGAUUUAUUGGGCGUAAAGAGCUUGUAGGUGGUUUGUCGCGUCGGGAGUGAAAACUCAGGGCUUAACUCUGAGCUUGCUUUCGAUACGGGCUGACUUGAGGGAGGUAGGGGAGAAUGGAAUUCCUGGUGGAGCGGUGGAAUGCGCAGAUAUCAGGAGGAACACCGGUGGCGAAGGCGGUUCUCUGGACCUUUCCUGACGCUGAGAAGCGAAAGCGUGGGGAGCGAACAGGCUUAGAUACCCUGGUAGUCCACGCUGUAAACGGUGGGUACUAGGUGUGGGGGACAUUCCACGUUCUCCGUGCCGUAGCUAACGCAUUAAGUACCCCGCCUGGGGAGUACGGCCGCAAGGCUAAAACUCAAAGGAAUUGACGGGGCCCCGCACAAGCGGCGGAGCAUGCGGAUUAAUUCGAUGCAACGCGAAGAACCUUA
rnacentral:rRNA from 1 species